UACAGAGGUCUCAAGCGUUGUUCGGAUUCAUUGGGCGUAAAGGGUGCGUAGGCGGCGCGGUAAGUCGGGUGUGAAAUCUCGGAGCUUAACUCCGAAACUGCAUUCGAUACUGCCGUGCUUGAGGACUGGAGAGGAGACUGGAAUUUACGGUGUAGCGGUGAAAUGCGUAGAUAUCGUAAGGAAGACCAGUGGCGAAGGCGGGUCUCUGGACAGGUUCCUGACGCUGAGGCACGAAGGUCAGGGGAGCAAACGGGG
rnacentral:rRNA from 1 species